rnacentral:rRNA from 1 species
UACGAAUGGGGCAAGCGUUGUUCGGAAUCACUGGGCUUAAAGCGUUUGCAGGCGGCCAUGCAAGUCAGAUGUGAAAUCCCUGGGCUUAACCCAGGAAUUGCUUUUGAAACUGGACGGCUAGAAUCCCGGAGAGGUUAACAGAAUUCCGAGUGUAGAGGUGAAAUUCGCAGAUAUUCGGAGGAAUACCAGUGGCGUAAGCGGUUAACUGGACGGGCAUUGACGCUCAGAUACGAAAGCGUGGGUAGCAAACAGG